rnacentral:rRNA from 1 species
UACGUAGGGUGCAAGCGUUGUUCGGAAUUACUGGGCGUAAAGGGCUCGUAGGCGGCCAACUAAGUCGGACGUGAAAUCCCUCGGCUUAACCGGGGAACUGCGUCCGAUACUGGAUGGCUUGAGUAUGGGAGAGGGAUGCGGAAUUCCAGGUGUAGCGGUGAAAUUCGUAGAUAUUCGCAAGAACACCAGUGGCGAAGGCGGCUCACUGGCCCGAUACUGACGCUGAGGCACGAAAGCGUGGGGAGCAAACAGG